UCCUGGUGGCUCAGAUGGUAAAGAGUCUGCCUGCCAUGCAGGAGACCUGGGUUCGAUCCCUGGAUCGGGAA
rnacentral:tRNA from 1 species